AUUGAACGCUGGCGGCAGGCCUAACACAUGCAAGUCGAGCGGAGCGGCGGACGGGUGAGUGAUGCCUAGGAAUCUGCCUGGUCGUGGGGGAUAACGUCCGGUAACGGGCGCUAAUACCGCAUACUAUCAGAUGAGCCUCGUUCGGAUUAGCUAGUUGGUGGGGUAAAGGCCUACCAAGUCGACGAUCCGUCACUGGGCUGAGAGGAUGAUCAGUCACACUGGAACUGAGACACGGUCCAGACUCCUCAGGGAGGCAGCAGGGGGGAAUAUUGGACAAGGGGCGAAAGCCUGAUCCAGCCAUGCCGCGUGUGUGAAGAAGGUCUUCGGAUUGGAAAGCACGUUAAGUUGGGAGGCGUUACCAACAGAAGAAGCACCGGCUAACUCCGUGCCAGCAGCCGCGGUAAUAC
rnacentral:rRNA from 1 species